AUGCUCUAUUCGGCUUUUUCAAGAAGGAGUCUCAAAUCUCUAAAGAGGGAAUUCUCAGUUUUUUGUCACAACGCUAAUAUCAAAGUCGAGAAUAAAAGGCUAAAAGCAACAGGGCUAGGAAGGGAUGCGUACAGUGUGUAUGCUACCAAGUACUUCGCUGAGAUACUCAAGCAUAUGUCUAUUGGCCGGAAGGAUGUGAUCUCAAAAUACGGGUUUGAGCAUCUCCUGAUGUUUGAGAAGACUGAACUCCCUUCUCACUUCACCAGAUGGAUUGUUGGUUGCGUAGACACAAUAUCUUCCCAAAUCAUUAUUGAUGAUCAGAAGAUCAUCUCUCUUUCUAAGGAGUCUGUCCAUCUUGUGUUGGGUCUGCCAAACAACGGCAUUAUAGCGAUACCCAAUAAGGAGAGAGGGAAGAGUUUCAUUAUGUCUAGGUUCAAUCUUUCAGAAAUUCCAAAUGUCACUUUCUUUGGAAAUUUGCUCACAUCAUCAAAAGACCUUAGUGGUGAAGACAUCUUCAUAUGUUUCAUGGUGAUUGUUAUGUCAUGCUUUUUAUUCCCUUCUGCAAAUGAUCAUAUACACACGGACUUCCUAUUCCUUCUGGAGGAUCCUACUAUCACAAGGGGAUUCAACAUGUGUCUUCUUGUCUACGAAUGGAUUUUGGCCGGCAUCAACCAAUAUGUGUUGUUUGGUAGGGAAACCGGCAGAAAACCAAAAGCGUUUGAUUCUGCAUAUAUUGCUUGGCUGUGUUGUAUUUGGACAAGCUUGACUUUGGUAUAA
rnacentral:rRNA from 1 species